rnacentral:rRNA from 1 species
AAAAUAUCUAUCCUCCCUCUAAGCCUAGGUAGAAAACUAAGUUAUAAGACAAGGAUGAACACGAUAUAUGGUACUUUUUAAAAUCUGGUUCCCAAAGAAAUAAAACAUUUUAAAAAGAAUUUUAAAAUAAUGUAUUUAGCUUAUGCUGAGUAUAUAUUAGUGAGCAACUAAUUUAAAAAUAUUUAAGGAAUAAUAGUCCCCUCUGUUAUAAUAAAUUACUAUUGACCUAAUUUAUUUAUUAAGCUUCUCUUCUUAUUUGGGCAAUUAAUUCUAAGAAUUAGAACUUGUUUACACUAGUAAAUAUACUUUUAUUAUUUUCUUACUUAAAUAAGUUUUAUCAAUUUUAAAUUAAAUAUAAACUAAAUAACUUGAGAUUCUCCAAACUGUUUAACAAAGACAUAGUAAGACUGUGUCUUAUGUAUCUGCCCAAUGAAUAAUUUUUUAUGGCUUUAAAGUAGCGCAAUAAUUAGUUUAUUAAUUGUAAACCUGUAUGAAGCUAGCAUUGGUUAAUCAUGUUUAUUCUUAUCUGUUGAAUCUUAGUUAUCAGUACAAACGCUGAUAUACCCCCCGAAGACGAUAAGACCCUAAGACCUUCACCUUGUUUGGCUGGGAUAGCCUACUUAAUAUAAUAAAGAAACCUUAAUUAUUACGAACCAAUUAUUUUGCUAUACAUAGGUACCUUAGGGAUAACAGCGCGUAAUACUUUUAGAGCUCUUAUUUAAAAGAUAUUCGUGACCUCGAUGUUGAAUUAAGUAAUAUAGUGCUGCAGAAGGUGCUAUUUUAAGUCUGUUCGACU